CGCAGCAGCUCCCUGCCCUCUCGGCCCACGCCCGCCAUGGUCAGUCCGCGCCGUGCCCCCUAUCGCUCCGGCGCCGGGGGUCCCCUCGGCGGUCGCGGCCGCCCCCAGCGGCCCCUAGUAGUGUGCGCCGUCCGCUCGCGCUCCUGGCCGGCCACAGCCUCCGCGGAUCCGGGCCCGUUCGGCCCCUCCCAUGGAAGGUGCUCGGGUCUUCGGGACGCUGGGUCCCAUCGGUCCCUCCUCGCCUGGGCUCACCCUCGGGGGUCUGGCAGUGAGCGAGCACCGGCUCAGCAACAAGCUGCUUGCCUGGAUCGGCGUCCUGGAGUGGCAGGAGAAGCGCAGACCCUACUCUGACUCCACCGCGAAACUGAAGCGGACCUUGCCCUGCCAAGCCUGUGUGAACCAAGGGGAGAACCUGGAGACUGACCAGUGGCCGCAGAAGCUGAUCAUGCAGCUGAUCCCACAGCAGCUGCUGACCACGCUGGGCCCACUGUUCCGCAACUCCCAGCUGGCACAGUUCCACUUCACCAACAGAGACUGUGACUCGCUCAAGGGGCUCUGCCGAGUCAUGGGCAACGGCUUCGCGGACUGCAUGCUGUUCCCCCACAUCUUCCCCUGUGAGGUGCGCGUGCUCAUGCUCCUGUACUCGUCCAAGAAGAAGAUCUUCAUGGGCCUCAUCCCCUACGACCAGAGCGGUUUCGUCAGCGCCAUCCGGCAGGUCAUCACCACCCGCAAGCAGGCAGUGGGACCUGGUGGCGUCAACGCAGGCCCAGUGCAGAUCGUCAACAACAAGUUCCUGGCGUGGCGCGGUGUCAUGGAGUGGCAGGAGCCCAGGCCUGAGCCCAACAGCCGGUCCAAGAGGUGGCUGCCGUCCCACGUCUACGUGAACCAGGGAGAGAUCCUGAGGACCGAGCAGUGGCCAAGAAAGCUGUGCAUGCAGCUCAUCCCGCAGCAGCUGCUGACCACGCUGGUGCCGCAGUUUUGAAACUCACUCCUGGUGCAAUUCCACUUCACCAAGGACCUGGAGACGCUGAAGAGCCUGUGCCGCAUCAUGGACAAUGGCUUCGCUGGCUGCGUGCACUUUUCCUACAAAGCGUCGUGUGAGAUCCGCGUGCUCAUGCUCCUGUACUCUUCAGAGAAGAAAAUCUUCAUCGGCCUCAUCCCCCAUGACCAGGGCAACUUUGUCAACGGCAUCCGGCGCGUCAUUGCCAACCAACAGCAGGUCCUACACCGGAACCUGGAGCAGGAGCAGCAGCAGCAGCGAGGGAUGGGGGGGUAGUGGCUACCCUGGGCUGGGUCCCUCCAGGAGUCACAGACGAGGCCCCUGCAGAGACUGGUGACACGCUUCUGAGCAGGGGCCCUUGGGGACUUGACUGCCCAGAAACAUGG